rnacentral:rRNA from 1 species
ACGUCAAGUCAUCAUGGCCCUUAUGUCCAGGGCGACGACACGUGCUACAAUGGCCGGCGACAACGGGAAGCGAGUUCGCGAGGACGAGCGGAUCCUCAAAAGCCGGUCGCAGUUCGGAUUGAAGUCUGCAACUCGACUUCAUGAAGCUGGAAUCGCUAGUAAUCGUGGAUCAGCCAAGCCGCGGUGAAUACGUUCCCGGGCCUU